CGAGGAGGUGGCGCCGAGAGUGACAGGAGAGCACGCCGGAGCUGGGGGUGGGAGACAGGCUGGGGAGCCCAGACAGAGGAUCCAGCUGGAACAAUGACGGGGGCCUGCCCAGCCAGCCCCAGCUGCUUCCUUUUCAGUGGCCCUGUGCCCCCUGCCAGAUCCUGCCUGGGGGAACUGGAGUCUGGGUCCACGAUGGAAAUCUGCCCUUGAAGAACUGCCCCCAGGGAUGGAUUCCAGUGCUAUGCUCCACGUAGCACCUUCCCUACCCCACUUCCUACUCCUCAAGCCCCUCUAGGUCCUGGUGACAUCCACUCCUCCAGCCAGCCCUCCCAGCCUGCUGGCA
rnacentral:lncRNA from 1 species